CCCCUAGAUGUCCUGGGCCGCACGCGCAAUACAAUGUAAAGUUCAGAAAGCAUAUCCUGUUCCGGAAGGCAAUGGGUAAUCUUUUCAAUAUUUUGCGUGUUAGGGAUCGAUCUUUGCAAUUAUAGAUCUUGAACGAGGAAUACCUAGUAAGCGCGAGUCAUCAGCUCGCGCUGAUUACGUCCCUGCCCUUUGUACACACCGCCCGUCGCUACUACAGAGUGCCCGUGUCCAAGAAACGGUCGGACCUGUGCGGCCUCUCCGGGCGACCGGAGGGCCGUUACGGGGAAGACCCUUUAUUUGACGCGGGUCGAUGAAGUAAAAGUCGUAACA
rnacentral:rRNA from 1 species